AGGGAAACCGAGUCUUAAUUGGGCGUUAAGUUGCAGGGUAUAGACCCGAAACCCGGUGAUCUAGCCAUGGGCAGGUUGAAGGUUGGGUAACACUAACUGGAGGACCGAACCGACUAAUGUUGAAAAAUUAGCGGAUGACCUGUGGCUGGGGGUGAAAGGCCAAUCAAACCGGGAGAUAGCUGGUUCUCCCCGAAAGCUAUUUAGGUAGCGCCUCGUGAAUUCAUCUCCGGGGGUAGAGCACUGUUUCGGCUAGGGGGCCAUCCCGGCUUACCAACCCGAUGCAAACUGCGAAUACCGGAGAAUGUUAUCACGGGAGACACACGGCGGGUGCUAACGUCCGUCGUGAAGAGGGAAACAACCCAGACCGCCAGCUAAGGUCCCAAAGUCAUGGUUAAGUGGGAAACGAUGUGGGAAGGCCCAGACAGCCAGGAUGUUGGCUUAGAAGCAGCCAUCAUUUAAAGAAAGCGUAAUAGCUCACUGGUCGAGUCGGCCUGCGCGGAAGAUGUAACGGGGCUAAACCAUGCACCGAAGCUGCGGCAGCGAACGUAUCACUUAAAGCGAUUCAGCGGGUUACGAUUGACGGAGCGAAGCGACGUCAAAGCGUAUACAAAGUCGAGUCGGUUUAAGGAUACGUUCGUUGGGUAGGGGAGCGUUCUGUAAGCCUGUGAAGGUGGCCUGUGAGGGUUGCUGGAGGUAUCAGAAGUGCGAAUGCUGACAUAAGUAACGAUAAAGCGGGUGAAAAGCCCGCUCGCCGGAAGACCAAGGGUUCCUGUCCAACGUUAAUCGGGGCAGGGUGAGUCGACCCCUAAGGCGAGGCCGAAAGGCGUAGUCGAUGGGAAACGGGUUAAUAUUCCCGUACUUGGUGUUACUGCGAAGGGGGGACGGAGAAGGCUAUGUUGGCCGGGCGACGGUUGUCCCGGUUUAAGCGUGUAGGUGUGUGUUCCAGGUAAAUCCGGUUCACUUUAACACUGAGGCGUGACGACGAGGCACUACGGUGCUGAAGCAACAAAUGCCCUGCUUCCAGGAAAAGCCUCUAAGCAUCAGGUAACAUCAAAUCGUACCCCAAACCGACACAGGUGGUCAGGUAGAGAAUACCAAGGCGCUUGAGAGAACUCGGGUGAAGGAACUAGGCAAAAUGGUGCCGUAACUUCGGGAGAAGGCACGCUGACACGUAGGUGAAGUGAUUUACUCAUGGAGCUGAAGUCAGUCGAAGAUACCAGCUGGCUGCAACUGUUUAUUAAAAACACAGCACUGUGCAAACACGAAAGUGGACGUAUACGGUGUGACGCCUGCCCGGUGCCGGAAGGUUAAUUGAUGGGGUCAGCGCAAGCGAAGCUCCUGAUCGAAGCCCCGGUAAACGGCGGCCGUAACUAUAACGGUCCUAAGGUAGCGAAAUUCCUUGUCGGGUAAGUUCCGACCUGCACGAAUGGCGUAAUGAUGGCCAGGCUGUCUCCACCCGAGACUCAGUGAAAUUGAACUCGCUGUGAAGAUGCAGUGUACCCGCGGCAAGACGGAAAGACCCCGUGAACCUUUACUAUAGCUUGACACUGAACAUUGAGCCUUGAUGUGUAGGAUAGGUGGGAGGCUUUGAAGUGUGGACGCCAGUCUGCAUGGAGCCGACCUUGAAAUACCACCCUUUAAUGUUUGAUGUUCUAACGUGGACCCGUGAUCCGGGUUGCGGACAGUGUCUGGUGGGUAGUUUGACUGGGGCGGUCUCCUCCUAAAGAGUAACGGAGGAGCACGAAGGUUGGCUAAUCCUGGUCGGACAUCAGGAGGUUAGUGCAAUGGCAUAAGCCAGCUUGACUGCGAGCGUGACGGCGCGAGCAGGUGCGAAAGCAGGUCAUAGUGAUCCGGUGGUUCUGAAUGGAAGGGCCAUCGCUCAACGGAUAAAAGGUACUCCGGGGAUAACAGGCUGAUACCGCCCAAGAGUUCAUAUCGACGGCGGUGUUUGGCACCUCGAUGUCGGCUCAUCACAUCCUGGGGCUGAAGUAGGUCCCAAGGGUAUGGCUGUUCGCCAUUUAAAGUGGUACGCGAGCUGGGUUUAGAACGUCGUGAGACAGUUCGGUCCCUAUCUGCCGUGGGCGCUGGAGAACUGAGGGGGGCUGCUCCUAGUACGAGAGGACCGGAGUGGACGCAUCACUGGUGUUCGGGUUGUCAUGCCAAUGGCACUGCCCGGUAGCUAAAUGCGGAAGAGAUAAGUGCUGAAAGCAUCUAAGCACGAAACUUGCCCCGAGAUGAGUUCU
rnacentral:rRNA from 1 species